rnacentral:rRNA from 1 species
GAUGAACGCUGGCGGCGUGCCUAAUACAUGCAAGUCGAGCGAACGGACGAGAAGCUUGCUUCUCUGAUGUUAGCGGCGGACGGGUGAGUAACACGUGGAUAACCUACCUAUAAGACUGGGAUAACUUCGGGAAACCGGAGCUAAUACCGGAUAAUAUUUUGAACCGCAUGGUUCAAAAGUAAAAGACGGUCUUGCUGUCACUUAUAGAUGGAUCCGCGCUGCAUUAGCUAGUUGGUAAGGUAACGGCUUACCAAGGCAACGAUGCAUAGCCGACCUGAGAGGGUGAGCGGCCACACUGGAACUGAGACACGGUCCAGACUACUACGGGAGGCAGCAGUAGGGAAUCUUCCGCAAUGGGCGAAAGCCUGACGGAGCAACGCCGCGUGAGUGAUGAAGGUCUUCGGAUCGUAAAACUCUGUUAUUAGGGAAGAACAUAUGUGUAAGUAACUGUGCACAUCUUGACGGUACCUAAUCAGAAAGCCACGGCUAACUACGUG